rnacentral:tRNA from 1 species
GGUUUAGUGGUCUAGUUGGUUAUGAUUUCUGUCUCACAACGUCGGCUUGAAAGAGCUGUUCGGGCACACAGAAGGUCUCCAGUUCGAAUCUGGGCUGAACCA